AAAGUCGUAACAAGGUUUCCGUAGGUGAACCUGCGGAAGGAUCAUUAACGAGUUUUUUGAAACGGGUUGUUGCUGGCUUCCAAAAAGGAGCAUGUGCACGCCUGACUCAAUCCACUCUCAAACCCCUGUGCACUUAUUGUAGGCUCGGUGAUUGAAGAGCUCGCAAGGGUUCUGAUAGAGCCCUGUCUAUGUUUUUACAAACGCUUCAGUUUAUGAAUGUUACUCGCGUAUAACGCAAUAAAUACAA
rnacentral:misc_RNA from 1 species